CAGCCGCCGCGGUAAUACGAAGGGGGCUAGCGUUGUUCGGAAUUACUGGGCGUAAAGGGCGCGUAGGCGGCCAUUCAAGUUAGAUGUGAAAGCCCUGGGCUCAACCUAGGAAUUGCAUUUGAUACUGUUUGGCUUGAGUUCGGGAGAGGGAAGCGGAAUUCCCAGUGUAGCGGUGAAAUGCGUAGAUAUUGGGAGGAACACCAGUGGCGAAGGCGGCUCACUGGACGACUGUUGACGCUGAGGUGCGAAAGCGUGGGGAGCAAACAGGAUUAGAUACCCGGGUAGUCCCUGUCUCUUAUAC
rnacentral:rRNA from 1 species